AUUGAACGCUGGCGGAAUGCUUUACACAUGCAAGUCGAACGGCAGCACGGGGGCAACCCUGGUGGCGAGUGGCGAACGGGUGAGUAAUACAUCGGAACGUGCCCAGUCGUGGGGGAUAACGUAGCGAAAGCUACGCUAAUACCGCAUACGAUCUAAGGAUGAAAGCGGGGGAUCGGAAGACCUCGCGCGAUUGGAGCGGCCGAUGGCAGAUUAGGUAGUUGGAGGGGUAAAGGCUCACCAAGCCGACGAUCUGGAACUGGUCUGAGAGGACGACCAGCCACGCUGGGACUGAGACACGGCCAAGACUCCUACGGGGGGCAGCAGUGGGGAAUUUUGGACAAUGGGCGCAAGCCUGAUCCAGCCAUUCCGCGUGCAGGAUGAAGGCCCUCGGGUUGUAAACUGCUUUUGUACGGAACGAAACGGCUCUCUCUAAUACAGGGGGCUAAUGACGGUACCGUAAGAAUAAGCACCGGCUAACUACGUGCCAGCCGCCGCAGUAA
rnacentral:rRNA from 1 species